rnacentral:rRNA from 1 species
GACGAACGCUGGCGGCGUGCUUAACACAUGCAAGUCGAACGGUAAGGCCCUUCGGGGUACACGAGUGGCGAACGGGUGAGUAACACGUGGGUGAUCUGCCCUGCACUUCGGGAUAAGCCUGGGAAACUGGGUCUAAUACCGGAUAGGACCACUGCCUGCAUGGGUGGUGGUGGAAAGCUUUUGCGGUGUGGGAUGGGCCCGCGGCCUAUCAGCUUGUUGGGGGGGUGAGGGGCUACCAAGGCGACGACGGGUAGCCGGCCUGAGAGGGUGACCGGCCACACUGGGACUGAGAUACGGCCCAGACUCCUACGGGAGGCAGCAGUGGGGAAUAUUGCACAAUGGGCGCAAGCCUGAUGCAGCGACGCCGCGUGAGGGAUGACGGCCUUCGGGUUGUAAACCUCUUUCAGCACCGACGAAGCGCAAGUGACGGUAGGUGCAGAAGAAGGACCGGCCAACUACGUGCCAGCCGCCGCGGUAAAAC